UUAGGUGUGAAAUUGCCUCAUAUGCACACCCCUAUUAAUGAGCCUUAAAUUCAUUGCUUUCAAGUUUUCGGAAAGAAAACAAAACAAAUAAUAAAAGAACACUUUUUUUUUUUUUUCUUACGUCUUUUACCUGUUGUCUUCUCUAUCGUGCCAGUUUUUCCUUUGACAAAAUGACUUAUUACAACCAUUACCGCUCACUCACUCACAGGUCUGUUUUCUUCUCUGUUUCUUUUAUUCUAUAGCCAUUGCAAAUCACUCACUCGCAACUAUGUUUCUUCUCUUUCAUAACCAUUACUAAUCACUUACUCCCGACUAUGCUUCUUCUCUUUUAUAACCGUUACCAAAUCACUCGUUCCCAACUCUGUUUCUUAUUCUUGUUUUUGGGUUUUCUGAGCUCGGAUCUCACGCUCCUGCCUGAAGAUAAAGAAUUCUUCUGUUAGGCUUCGGAGAAAUCCAGGGAAAGAGAAAGAAUGUUGAUAGUGCUUUUGUACUUUUUUCUCUGCUUUCGUGUCCCUGUGUUUCCGUUGAACCCAAACAGUAAGCAUUUCCUUUUUCUUUUCUUUUUUUUCCUUUCCUUUUUCAGUUUUUUCGACUAUCUUUCUCAUUUGGGUUUUCCAAAGAUUGUUCAUUUUUCUCAUAUGAUCUGUUAGAAGUUCAAAAUUCCUACUUUUCCUCCCCACGAUUUCUAAGCAAACAAACAAGAGAAGUUCUUUAAUCAAUAUAGAAAACGUUUAGGAGUAAUUUUUUUUUUGUUUUUUUUUUUUUUUUAAUUUUAAAUUUCUCUCAUUUUUUUAUUCUUCGAAUUUUGUAAAUAUAUUAUAAAAAAGUAGAUGAAUUAGCUGACGUACAUUAAGCGCCUUAUGGUUUUUCAAGAGUAAGAUAAAGAAAAAUGGAGCCAUUGAGGCUUUCCCAACUUGCUGUCAUACCAAAUUUUUUUUAAUAAAAAAAAGAAGAUAAAGAAAAAUAAUAAAAACAUCAUUUAACUUUAAAUUAUUAAUAAUCAUUAGUUAACAAUUUAACUUUAAAAAUUAUUCAUACUUUAAAUGAAAGCUUGCAUGGUUUUUUAAGUGGCAAAAGGUUGCCCUUUUCGAAAGAACAAUUGCAUGCUACAUUGCUAAGAAUAAAGUUUCUCUAAGUCCAACUUUCUUUGUGACUUUCACUUCUAUUGAAAGAAUUUUUUCGGUCACACUACAAAUGGUUGCUGUCUUUCAAUGGUCAAGGGGAGAAGAAUCUUGCAGCUGAUAGUUUAACAAACUCUAUUUUGAGCUGAUUCCCAUAAUUACUCAACAAAUAUAAAAAAAUUAAUAUUACAAAUUUAUAGCGCUAGUCUAGAUUCUACCUUUCUUUGCCACUAUGGAUUAUUUUGAUUUGUAGGCCAAGAAUCAUUUUCCUUCCCUUGCUUUUUCUGAGCUAAGUGGUACAGGUCUACAAACAAGACGUUUCACAUUUAAGACAAAUUAAAGCUGCCACUCCUAAUUUUGAGCUUGUAAACAGGAUAGGUGAAGGAGGCUUUAAGACAAUUUUAACCUUGCCACAUUGUUGGCAUUUGUAAUUGGUUAA